UACGAAGGGGGCUAGCGUUGUUCGGAAUUACUGGGCGUAAAGGGCGCGUAGGCGGUCUCGUAAGUCAGGCGUGAAAGGCCCGGGCUCAACCUGGGGACUGCGCUUGAUACUGCGGGGCUUGAAUCCGGGAGAGGAUGGCGGAAUUCCCAGUGUAGAGGUGAAAUUCGUAGAUAUUGGGAAGAACACCGGUGGCGAAGGCGGCCAUCUGGCCCGGCAUUGACGCUGAGGCGCGAAAGCGUGGGGAGCAAACAGGG
rnacentral:rRNA from 1 species